rfam:Trichobilharzia regenti genome assembly, scaffold: TRE_scaffold0010029
AUCCAAAUGACGAGUCCCAAAUAGGACGAAAUGCGCAUCCUGACUGGAU